GUUUCCUACGGGAGGCAGCAGUAGGGAAUAUUGCUCAAUGGGGGAAACCCUGAAGCAGCAACGCCGCGUGGAGGAUGAAGGUUUUAGGAUUGUAAACUCCUUUUGUGAGAGAAGAUAAUGACGGUAUCUCACGAAUAAGCACCGGCUAACUCCGUGCCAGCAGCCGCGGUAAUACGGAGGGUGCAAGCGUUACUCGGAAUCACUGGGCGUAAAGAGUGCGCAGGCGGGCGUGUAAGUCAGAUGUGAAAUCCUGUAGCUUAACUACAGAACUGCAUUUGAAACUAUGAGACUAGAGGGGGGGGGAG
rnacentral:rRNA from 1 species